GACAGUUUAGCAAAGUGGUUACUGCGAUUGAUUCGAAUAAUUUGUUCGAAGCCAUCAAUUCCUCUUUGAGGGCACAGGUUCGAAUCCUGUAACUGUCG
rnacentral:tRNA from 1 species